rnacentral:lncRNA from 1 species
UGCUUGGGGCCAGUGCUUUAAGCCAGUGGAUCCUAAUAUUCCACCUACCCAUGAGGAUGACUCUGGUAGUUUUGGCCAUUCGUUGUAUACGCAGAGUGCUGAAGACUAGGCUGUGUUUUGGUUUUUCCUAAGCUUGAGGCAUGCAGGACAGAAAGAAAAACUCAAACCACUCCUCACCUUGGGGAUCCUUCCCCUUCCUGGAUCAGAACCACGCCUUUGCCAUAUUCCUGUUUGGAGGAGAAUCUGCAGUGGGUCGCUGUUGCUGUUUUAUGGUGCCUCUUUGUUCUUAAAGUGCUACUUUUCUACAAAGAAAUAUUUGUAGAAAUUCUGGGUGCAGUAGGAAACCUUGAAACGAAAAAAAAAAAAAUGGAGAUUCUAUAAGCCUGCUUGGAAACCAAGAUUCUGCCCUAAAGUUAAAUUGCUUUUGAAAGAACUUAAGCUGAUGUUUCCCUGCUCCUGGCAUAACUCUCCUCCUACCUCUCCUUCUCUCACCCUCUCCUCCUCCCUCUCUCUCAUCAUGCUCACAAAGGUGCCACAUGGGGAAAUGACUCUUGACUCUUUUGUCCUUGUCCAUUGAAAAUGUGGCCUAUGCCCGCCGGCUCUCUGGAAACCUUGCAGGCUUUUCUUCUGCAGUCCCUGUGAGUGGCUGAAUUACCAUUUCUCACCCAACCCUCAAAGAGAGGUUGUUAACAAAGCCCACAGUUCAGAGGAGGCCAAGGAGGCCUGCUCAGAGGCAGGCAGAGCCUUGAGGUUUGCAGCAGGAAUAUGUAUGGGUAUUUUUCCCACUAAAGAAGGAUGUUAAACACUAUCAAUUACUCCCUUUCAAACAGAGAGCAGAAAUACCAGACACUACAAUUGUUGAAGGAAAGGUGACAAAGUUUAAAGUUGGACAAGAUGUUGGCAGGGGUAAGCUGUUCUCAGUCAACUGAAAAGGCAUAACCUGAAUUUAGCCAGAAAAUCAAGGUUCUUGGUUCAGAUGACACCCCCUCUGAGGUCUAGUGAACUUGGGCAAAUUGUUUGAUUUCUCUGGGCUUCACCAGAAUGGUGCUUCAUUUGGUUUCAGGGAAACCUGGUUUUACAGUGGUGCUCACUUUCUCUCUAGCUGUGUAACCUUAGCGACGAUGGUUGGCCAGCUCCUUCAGUAUCCUCAUCUCAAGGUGGAAGUCAUGAAGUCUGCUCCUCUGGGGAGGGUCUUGCAAGCAGGGUUUUUAGCUCACCUCAGCGAGGUGAGUGUCAUUCCUAGAUACUGCUACUGCUGAUAGGAUGGUGAUAAUGGUAACUAAGUGGCACCUGCUGAAAAUUAGCGCAGCCUCCCAGUGCUCUUCUUGCAACUGUGCCAUGGCCAGUUUUGAAUGGAGACACCUAACACAUCCCAGCUCCAUCUGCAUAUGGCUCUGUGUUUGGCUUGGCUCCCUUUGUCCAGAGCUAUGCAAGGCUGUGCGAUUUUGAAACUGAAAGACACCCAGUCUGCUCGGAUUUCUUUGAGAGUGUGCUUAUUUACCCAACAUGUGCUGUUAUAUUUUCUCUCAGCAUGAGUCCUUCUCCUGCAUUUCAAGGUAGAAGAGCCAUUACACCUAAUGAGAGCUCCUUUCUAGCUCAUGUGCCACUUAGAAUGUUUAAGAGUGUGCUCGAAUUUUAACCUUUCAGUGCAUCUCUGUAAUGGCAUGUCACCCCUAAAAAAUGCGAUGUCAGCUUCCCUGGAAAAGGAAUAGACACUGAUUUUCAACCUGAAAACCACCACUCGUCCUUCCAGGGGCCUCAUUUAUGUGGAGGAUGUUAUAAAACAUCAUGAGAUGGAAAGGCAGGGUAACUGCUAGUUGUGGAACGUGCCCACCCUGUGGGGAUCCAGAUUACAAUUGAGGCAAAUGCCUGAGGAUGACAUGUUCUCAUUGCAUUUCAGCACUGCUCCAGGGUCCUAUACCACAUCACUAGGAAAUGCACUGUUGGCAGCCCUAUUUUUUUUUUAAGAGGCUUCACUAUCACCUAAGUGAAUGAAUGUUGCCAGGAAGGCAUUUUAAGAAUUGUUGCAUUAGGAAUAAUUGUCUCCUAGAUGCUCCCUCAGUUGAUGGAUUCAUUCUGCUCUUUUAUCCCCAUUGCAAUGGAAGCGGUCCCCCUGCUUUUCAUCAUCAGUCAUUCAUGUGGAAACUUCUCUCAUCCAAAUGGAGCCUCUAACUGCUCCCUGAAUACACCAGGCAUCUUACCUGAAUGGUAAAGCCAUACUCAUCUUUCAAGACCCAGCUCAGAAGAAGUCACUUCAUCUCUCAACUCUUCCCAGAUUCCCUUUCACAGGGGUUCUUGCUCCCUCCUUCCUCUGAUGUCCUCUGGAACUUUGUUUAUAACUCUCCAGUGGUACUCCCCACCCCGAAUGGCACUUAGCUGUGCAUGUCCCUCUCUUCUCCUGGAAUGUGACCUCAGGGAUGGCCAUGGGGACACAUUUUAUUUAUCAGAAGCACCUGCCUACUAGUGCCUAGGCAAUAUCCAACACUUAUUAGAACUUGGAUGAAAAAGAAAGGGACGAAGGGAUGAGUGACUAUUAAGAGAUGCCAAAACUGGUGUAGGGUAGGAGGAACCAGAAGGUGUCUUUGCUCCAAGACAGAGGGAGAAAGGACUUGCCUCCUUUAUGGUAAAUCCUCUCCUUUUAUAGGGAAGUAGCUGGAGGCUGGGGAAAGGAGGUGGCUUGCCCAGAGGCACACAAGACCUGGAGCUGGAGCUAUCACACAGCAAGGCAACAUGUCCUCCUGCUCCUUCAGGGCAUGAGUUUUCCUUCUGCAGUAUGACGUCUGAGGCCUUGUCUUGGUGGAAGUGAGAGACACAGAGAGGUAGCUACUGAGGGUUGUGCCGAAAAUAAGAAUCAAGCAGACUAGAUAUUGCCUCAGUUCAUACAUCCAAGUCCUCCCAUAACUAUUUCAAACAAAGUCCUAAGAACUUCUGUGCUUGGCUGGAAAAGGUGUCAGCCGUGGGACCAUGUGAUGAUGAUAGUGAUGGGGCUGAUACUGCUGGUCUCCUUUCCAAAUCCCAUCUCCCUUCCCUAUGGCUCACAAGCCCUUCUUUAUAUGCAGGACUAUAUACCUCAGGAGUGGUCCACACAGUGAUGCAAGUCAUGCAUGGCAGUUCUAUCCCCUUGCUAAGCAUUGAUAGAGACAUAGACAUGGGUCACAGUUCCGGUCAAUGACACAGGUGGACCAGUCUUCUUCACUGUCAAAAUGAGACUCUGAAAGGUUGCCUGAAUUAGGAAAAACAAAAACCCAAACUUGAAAC